rnacentral:lncRNA from 1 species
GUCUUUUCUUUUUCCUUAGAGACAUUAAAAGUGUGUCAAGCCAAACAAUGGACGUCAUCUUCUGAAUGAUCAAUGGAAUGAUGAGAAACACCUUAAUCCCUUCUACAAAGUAGAGUAUUUCCUGUCCAUCAGUGCUGGAUUGGAUCUAGCUAUGGGUGAUAUGGCUGUAUGAUUGUUUCUCCAUCCACAUUUCCCAUGGAACCACCAACUAACUAACAUGUCUGAGCUUUCAUCACCUGCACUUCCAAAGAGGCCUUUGCAGGGAUCUCAGCAUGGGAUGUGUCUCCUGUUGCACAGUAGUGAGCAAAGUAACAAUGCUUUCACCUCCGAGUCCCCAUCAUCCCCAUCAUCGACUUUGCUCCUGUAUGAAAGAGGUGAGAUGUCACCGGACUCUAUACAUAGCUUGAGUAGUCUGAGCAGUGCCGGAACAGAUAGUCCUCUGGAUGUGGAGAUGGGAAAAGCAACAGCCAGCAGUGAUGAUUCAGGCAUACAGAGCCCAGAAUGCAGACCAGACUACAGUGAGGACAACGACAAUUCUGUGUCUGUCUAUCUGGAUGCUAAUGAAGACUGUUGGAGUGACAAUGACAACCAUAAUGUCACUUUGGUGGUAACACAGAAGGUUAGUCAAAAUGAUGGUGAUGAUACAUCCUUGUACUCUUCAGUAAAUGGUGGUGAUGAUGAUGACACUAAAGAGGAAGAGGAAGAAGACACUUUUCUUUUUUUAUCCUCAGUAGAAUUAAUAAUGAAGUGCCAAAUUGGUGUCUCUGCUCUGGAAGUCUCCACCAGCUCUGAAGUGCCAAACAGUGUUUUACCAGUUAUUUCUGAAGGGCGACCAUCAGAAGUGCCUAACAUGGCUGUGGUGAAUGCAACCCAGAGGGAAGUUGUCUUUGUUGAGUUGUCUUCAGCCAUUCAAGUAACUAACAUCGUGAAUGAGACAGUGGUGUCCCCUGAAAAUACUCCCGUAACAGAUACCAGAAACAUAACAACUUCUUGCACAUCCAUCUCAAAAGCAGACAACCUGCCAAAGAAAACUGCAGAAAAGUCCAGUGAUCUGGAAGGACGUGUUCUUGCCAAGCCUUCUACAAGGGCUGUUCUGACCAAAGCCACAAAACCUGAGGCGAAGAAGUUCCCCAGGCCAGACCUGAGGAACGUGAAGGCCAAAAUCAUCUCCAGGGCUGCCUCUGCGCCAAGAUCAGCCAAUCCCGCAAAAACAAACACUAAUGUUAACCAGUCCGCUUCAGGGAGUGUGAAGGUUCAUGCUAGUAGGAAGGUGGAAAAUAAAGCUGUUGGAAAAAGAAGCAGAUCAUCAUCAAACCACACAAGAGGGAAUGAAACAAAGAUGGUGGACAAUGGCAGUCAAGAGAAAGAUGUGAACACUUUAUCCUUGCCAACACAAGGAGAAGAAACAAUGAAGUCAGAAUGUCCUCCUUCAGCUGAUUUUAAAGAUGAAGGAGAACCUCAACUUGAGAAAAAAGCAGGGGAAGAAACCUCUAAGAGCACAAGCAAGACUGUGUCUUCCAAGUUGGGACCAUCUCUGGGGACUAAUAGGACAUCCACCUCUGGACCCCCAGAAACCAGACUGAAGCCCUCUAACCGAGAAACCCGACCUACAGGUAGUCUGGGUCCACUGGGAGGCCGAGCGGUUCAGCCGGCUGGUAUUCCAAGGAUGCGUAGCACAGACAAGUCCGCAGUACCCUGCAGCCCCACGUCUGUUUCCAGCCCUUCUUGUAAGGGUCCUCAGAAAGCUGCCUCUUCCAAACUGCCUGUCAAAGGCCUACCCACAAGCCCCAGCUCCUCAUCACUGGGAAGUACAAUCAGCGAAAGCAACAAUAUUGCUGUAAACAAAGUUCCUGCUGAAGGGAUAAAGAGUGAGGAUAAGUCUAUCAAACAACCACCGGCAUCCCAGAUUCAAGGAAAGUCUCUAGUUAGCAAACCUGUAUCAGGUCACCGCAGCAGAGCAAGCUCCACACUGUCUAAACCAGUGGCAGGUGAGAGAAACAUGCAUGUUGAGUUUAGUACCUUCUAAUCUCACUCAUUCUCUCUAACGCCCACACUUACUUUCAUAUACGUAUCAGUCCACAUUCAUCAUUUAUUAUUUACACAUCAAAACAGCCUCAAAGUGAAGCUCACUGUCCUGUCGUCAGAUCUUCUAUAAUCAGUGGGAGAUCUCUGAUUGUCUUAAGCUAAUGACACUGCAUGAUGUCAUUUUAGUUCAGAACCACAAUCUGAUUACUGCCAUACACACCCCU